UGUUAUAUACGUGACGUAAUAGGUAUAAGAAAUCAUUUAUAACUUUAAGGGUGUAUGUCAAAAUCUAUGGAAUAUUGUUCACAUUGAAAAUAGUUUUUUUUUAGAAUAAGUAUAUAAAUUGGGUACAUAAAUCAUGGGUGAUUAAUCUGAAUUAAUCAAAUGACAAAGGAUUUUAUGCAUUUGUCAUUUAAUAGUUGGACCUACGGUAUUAUUAAAUUAAUCUGUAUCCACAAAUUGCAAUCGUUUAAUUCUUGGGAGAGCCGAGAGCUGGGGAGGCGAACAGAUGUCUGCUAAUUUGCUGGCUACCGCCUUUGCCGACGCCCUACACCACGUUGCCGAGAGAGAGUAUCUUUGUGUUUCCGACACAGAUUUCAAAACUGGAAAAAAUGAUUAAUGAUAUUACUAUUGAUAAAAAAAAUGCAUCAUAAAAUAGAUAUAAAUAGACUGCAGCUCAGGCCAGAUCAAGUACUUAAAAUCAAUUUAUAUAUAUUAUAUGUGACUAGUGAAGGAGAAAAAGUUAUGGAUAAGGCAAAAUCAAAAUUUGAAUAAACAAAAGAAAUCCAGCAGUUGCUUGUGUGGUGCAAGUGUAACUAUGAAAAAAACUUAGCUUGUUAUGAGUUUUAUUAUGAAUCAUUGCUUGAAACAAACCAAGAGGUAGGUAACUGAUAAAUUACAAGCAAUGGCUGAUUGUUAUAGUUUAAAAUGUACAUUUAACAUGGUAGAAGUGGCCAUCAAAGAGCCAGAAGACUGAUCAAAACAAUAUAUUUUCCUCUUGUCAAGAUGCAAUUUUGUUACUUUUUUGUUGUUUUAGUAUUGGUUUAGCUUUUUACUUUGCUUUUACAUAAUUUCAUAGAUAUUCAAGUUUUUUAACUCUUAUAGUUUUAAGUUAAUUAAUCAACUCAUUAACUUAAACAUGUUCUGUAAGUACAUAUUUUACAAUAUUUAAUAAAUAGGUUUUGCAUGCA